AUGUCACCAUUUAGAAUGAUCUCGAUACUCAUCCUUUUACUUUGACUUUAUUUUUCCUUGCAGGGAGACUUGUUCAAGCACACGGAAUAAUGUAUAGACAAAUGGAGUUGAUAUUUUUGAAGUCGAGGCCGGUACAUGAUAGAUCUCUAACCAUGUAUCAGUUUGUUAUGAGCUCCUCGUGUUAAUAUGCAGAAUAACACUUUAUCCUAAACAUUCAAAUAGGGGAUCCCAAUUCAGAACUGGUUAUGAAGCCCAAUGAGAAGAUCUCUAGAAUACGGAAACGAAUACUAUAAACUUGCAAAGAGACGAACCUGUAUUUUGAAACCAUCUUAGUAUUUUAUUCAUCUACU
rnacentral:lncRNA from 1 species